rnacentral:rRNA from 1 species
UACGUAGGGUGCGAGCGUUGUCCGGAAUUAUUGGGCGUAAAGAGCUUGUAGGUGGUUUGUCGCGUCUGCUGUGAAAAUCCGAGGCUCAACCUCGGACUUGCAGUGGGUACGGGCAGACUAGAGUGCGGUAGGGGUGACUGGAAUUCCUGGUGUAGCGGUGGAAUGCGUAGAGAUCCGGAAGAACACCGAUGGCGAAGGCAGAUCUCUGGGCCGUAACUGACGGCUGAGGAGCGAAAAGCAUGGG